UAAUUUUUGUAUUUUUAGUAGAACCGAGGUUUCACCGUAUUGUCCAGGCUGGUCUUGAACUCCUGAACUCAGGCAAUCUGCCUGCCUUGGCUUUCCAAAGGUCUGGGAUUACCGUCAUGAGCCACGGCACCUGGCCUCUGCUCCCCUUUUGAUGCCAGACCCGGAGAGGCCAACAGUUAGCUCUGGGGCUGCUGUCCUUCUGUGUGUCCUCUCCUGUGGAUUUUAGAAAUGAGCAUAGAAUUCUAGAGGGAUGAGUUGAGAGGAGGAACAGGAGCCCAGGAUGAAAACUACAGCUCAAGUGGGCAGGCAGGGAAGUGAGGGAUGACAAUUCACAGGGCAUCCAUUUACACCCCAAUUACAGGCAUCCAGGCCUUCAAAGCAGCGACAUCAGGAAAGCCGGUUGUGAAAGGAUUCACCCUAGGACUCAUCUGCAAGGGUGGCUUCUAGCUCAUUUAAUAUACAUUUGAAUAAUACAAUAAUAGGAACGGGUGUGUAGAUGGCCGGGGUUGCUGGCACCAUUCCCUUGAUGAUGCUCAUGGGAACUCUAUGAGGAUGGAGUGAUCAUAAUCUCCAUCUUACACAAGGGGAAACUGAGGCUCAGAGAGGUUAAGCGACGGACCACAGUCACACACGAAAUUGCAGAAGUGAGUGUCAGACCCAAGUCUGCUGUACCCAAAGGCAAUCGCGUGGUCAUUUAGGAGCCCUGCUGUUUUGAGACCCCACAGAGAAAGUGUGGGUGUUCCGUGUUCCUCUUACUGAUUUAUUUAUUUUACGUUGUCUUCUGGUCAUGUGCUGUUCCUGCCUGAAGUCCAGUCUGUGGGGCUGGUGAGAGGGCCAUGAAGGAGAUUUCUGGAUGAGGUCCUGGUCCCCCUGCCUCCCUCUGGCCCCAUGUCUCUGGGUCUGUUCCCCUCCCAUGCUCUCGCUUGCUCAGACCUGGCUGUUAGAUUCAGUAUGUGGCCUCAGGAAGUCCCCCGUCUCCUGCUUCACGACACUGUCUUGGUGCUGAGAGCUUGAAGGGCUCCCACUCUGAUAAUAACUUCCAAAUGGACUCUCACGUCAGCCCAGUCUAGGGGUUUGGAGUCAACGGCUUUUUCACAGUGUGACUUUGGGCAGAGAACGCAACCUCUCUGAGCUCAGUUUUCACUUGCAAAAUGGGUGUAACAACAUCUUCCCCUAGAGAUUACGUGUUCAGUUAGAGGACACAUGAAAGCGUUCCAGAGUGUUCCUCUCGCGCCUCUGUCUUUCUCUCUGUUCUCAGCUUCUCUCACCUUCCUCAGAAGUCCCCAGACUGAAGUGAGCUUUAUUUACAUUUCAGAAGAAACACCAGACUCUGGGUCUAGAUAUCAUCUCUUCCCAGUUUCCCAGGAGCGUAGCCUGGGGUCCUCCUGUCUGGCAGCCUCUGCGCCCUGGCUGUGUGGCUGAGCUGCCUCUCCCUACCCUCUCUCCCUUCCUCCUCUUCACCUCUGCCCUCUCCGUCUCUCCCCGGCUCUCCCAGGCCUCAGCCCUCUGCUGCUGUUUGCCAGUUUCCUCCUGGUUUCCAGCACACAUCGUCGUUGCUACUUUUGAUUACAUUCCCAGUCUCUUUUCAAGUUUAUUUCCCUUAGGUCUUCUGACUUGCUUGGAGCCAGGAGGGAGCAGAAGUGGCUUGAACCUCUGGGGAAGGCUGGAAUCCUGGAGGCUCUACCUUCAAAUAAUCAGAAUCCAACAACUUCUUCCCCGCGCUGCUGCCUCUUCCUGGUCAGAGAUGCCGCUGACUGUACCGGGAGCAAUGCCCUGGUCUCCUAACUGGUCUCCUGCCUCUACACUUGCCCCCUCCGGUCUGUUAAGUCCACGUCCUGUUCUGGAUGUUUCAUAUAAAUGGAAUCACACAAUCAGUGGUACUGUGUGACUGGUUUAUUUCCUGAGUGCUACAUUUUACAACUCCGUGAUGUUAUUAUUUGGUUGGAGCAAAAGUUAUUGCAGUUUUGGCCAUUGCUUUUAAUGGCAAAUCCGCAAGAACGUUUGCAUCAACCUAAAUAAGUAAGCAAUGGUUAAACCAUACAUUCUCAAAUGUAUUAGAAAGGAAUAAUAGUAAAUAUUUGGAAGACAGUCAGUGGGGCAGGAUGCGAGGUAAGAAGAGUGACUGUAGGUCAGGAGUCAGGGGCGUCGGGUUCUAGUCCUGAUUCUGUCUUUAGCCAUGCAACCAAGUGAGCACAGCAACCUCUCUGGGGACACUAAUACAUUUGUUCAAGCCGCCCAGCAACUAAUGGAAAGAGAUUACAGCUAGGAC
rnacentral:lncRNA from 1 species